GAUGAACGCUGGCGGCGUGCCUAAUACAUGCAAGUCGAGCGAACGGACGAGAAGCUUGCUUCUCUGAUGUUAGCGGCGGACGGGUGUGUAACACGUGGAUAACCUACCUAUAAGACUGGGAUAACUUCGGGAAACCGGAGCUAAUACCGGAUAAUAUUUUGAACCGCAUGGUUCAAAAGUGAAAGACGGUCUUGCUGUCACUUAUAGAUGGAUCCGCGCUGCAUUAGCCAGUUGGUAAGGUAACGGCUUACCAAGGCAACGAUGCAUAGCCGACCUGAGAGGGUGAUCGGCCACACUGGAACUGAGACACGGUCCAGACUCCUACGGGAGGCAGCAGUAGGGAAUCUUCCGCAAUGGGCGAAAGCCUGACGGAGCAACGCCGCGUGAGUGAUGAAGGUCUUCGGAUCGUAAAACUCUGUUAUUGGGGAAGAACAUAUGUGUAAGUAACUGUGCACAUCUUGACGGUACCUAAUCAGAAAGCCACGGCUAACUACGUG
rnacentral:rRNA from 1 species